CAGCAGACAACACAGUAACCCCCUUGUGAAAAAAAGGAACCAUCAGAAAAAAAAGUGUGCUGUGCUGAGGCCUAGAGACUGCAGGUUCACAUCCACACUAAGGCACUUGCCAACUUGGGAAAAAAAAAGUCUAAAUGAGGUUUGGCUGAACCAAGAGAGAAUUGGCUGAAGAGGGCCUGUGACACUGGACCAUUAAUCAGUAAAAAACUGUCUGUACUC